rnacentral:misc_RNA from 1 species
GAUGAAGAACGUAGCGAAAUGCGAUAAGUAAUGUGAAUUGCAGAAUUCAGUGAAUCAUCGAAUCUUUGAACGCACAUUGCGCCCGCCAGUAUUCUGGCGGGCAUGCCUGUUCGAGCGUCAUUUCAACCCUCAGGCCCCCAGUGCCUGGUGUUGGGGAUCGGCCCAGCCUUCCUGUAAGGCCGCCGGCCCCGAAAUCUAGUGGCGGUCUCGCUGUAGUCCUCCUCUGCGUAGUAGCACAACCUCGCAGUUGGAACGCGGCGGUGGCCAUGCCGUUAAACACCCCACUUCUGAAAGUUGACCUCGGAUCAGGUAGGAAUACCCGCUGAACUUAAGCAUAUCAAUAAGCGGAAGA